rnacentral:lncRNA from 1 species
ACCCCUCGGCAUUGAUGUCUACUGUCUUGGGAGCACUGUCAUCACCAAUGCUACCUACGGAACAAACACAUCUACAUAUCAAUCACAGUAUGACGGGAACUGGACCCAACAUGCACAAUGUCUUAUGCCGUGCAACCCAAGACAUCCAAAACCAUGCAAAAGCCUACCAGGCGACAACUGCACCUGCCUGAGUCGAACGGAUUACCCGACGGUUGGCGUGUGCGCCAUGAAAGGUGUUGAUCCAGGUAAU